rnacentral:rRNA from 1 species
GAUCCUGGCUCAGGAUGAACGCUAGCUACAGGCUUAACACAUGCAAGUCGAGGGGCAGCAUGGUCUUAGCUUGCUUAAGGCCGAUGGCGACCGGCGCGACGGGUGAGUAACACGUAUCCAACCUGCCGUCGUACUCUUGGACAGCCUUCUGAAAGGAAGAUUAAUACAAGAUGGCAUCAUGAGUUCACAUGUUCACAUGAAUUAAACGGUAUUCCGGUAGACGAUGGGG